rnacentral:rRNA from 1 species
GACGAACGCUGGCGGCGUGCUUAACACAUGCAAGUCGAACGGAAAGGCCCUGAUUUUGUGGGGUGACCGAGUGGGGAACGGGUGAGUAACACGUGUGUAACCUGAUCUAGACUUUGGGAUAACUUAACGAAAGUGGGGCUAAUAUCGGAUAGCAGACGCUGCAGCAUGGUGGGGGGUGGAACGUUUCGGCGGUUGGGGAUGGACUGGCGGCUUACCAGCUUGCUGGUUGGGGAGUGGCUUACCCAGGAUUUGACGGGUAGCCGGCCUGGGAGGGGGACCGGCCACAUUGCGACUGAGGUACGGCCCAGACUCCUACGGGAGGCAGCGGGGGGGAGUAUUGCACAGUGGGCGGAAGCCUGAUGCAGCAACGCCGCGGGCGUGAUGACGGCCUUCGGGUUGUAAACCGCUUCCGCCUGUUACGAAGCGUGAGUGACGGUAAUGGGUAAAGAAGCACCGGCUAACUACGUG